AUAGAGGAUUCAACGAUUGUGUGAAAUGAUUGACGUUAAAGACUGUUAUAUAUAUGUAUAUAUGUAGUUAUAUAGUAAGGACUAUGUGGUGAGUGCGGGGGCCCAGAGUGAUUUGGGCUAGCGACGCAUAUGAGUACGGGGGCCCAGAGAAAUCUGAGCUAGCGACGUAUAGAGUGCGGGGGCACAGAGACAUCUGAGCUAGCGACGCAUAGUGGAUGAGUACGGGGGCCCAGAGACGUCUGAGCUAGCGACGUAUAUUGUGUGGUGCGGGGUGCAGAGACGUUUGCAUAUCGACGCAUAUUGGUGGAGUGCGGGGGUCCAGAGAUGUCUGGACUAUCGACGCAUAUUAUGAUAUCGUAUAUCCGUAUAAGGAGAACGCAGGGUGUGUGGACUAGCUAUGUACCAUCAGCGUAUUGUUUGUUUUGUGUGAUGUGCUAGGCAUCUUGUCUGUUCAUGCUAGAGCUAUUCCUACAUAGUCGUAGUGCUAUGUGCUGAGUCUGUGGUUUGCGGGUUAGCAUCCCAUACCUCACUGAGUGACUCCCCUGUUACUCACCCUCUUUUUCCCCCUUUCAGGUGAGAUAGCCGAGCAAGAGUGAUUGCUUUCGGAUUGGUGCUUUGGGAGUUUUAUUCUUAUUUUCAGACUUCGGUUUUAUGCUUUUAUCGAUAUUUUCCGGAUUUAUUUUAUUUAUGCUAUUAUUGGAUUAUGGUGUUGAGUUUGACUUUUGAGAAGUAAUAAAUGGAGACUUUUAUGAGAUUAUUAUUUAUUAUAUUAUUUUAGAAAAUCGGGGUAUUACAAUUUGGUAUCAGAGCGGGGUUCCGUCCCGGCUCUGACCCGGGACGGCGAUUUAUGGGACUCGGAUUUCAGUGAUUUUUUAAUGUUUUGGGAUUGGGAGUUUUUUUUAAAAAAAAUGCACCCUUCUGCCGAGCAUCAUUCGGUUAGUCGUUAGAGAUUCUGGUUUUCUUUUCUUAUGCAGGUGAAUACCAAGUUUCUUUCGUUUCCAUCGUCUAUUACCUUGUAUCUUUCUUUUCUUCGAAGCUGUGGACGUUCUUUCUUCAUCUCUUUGGAAUUCGAGGACGAAUUCUUCUUAAGUGGGGGAGAAUUGUAACGACCCUGAUCCAUGGCAGUGGCCCAUUUGUUUUUUUUUAAUUAAAACCCAAAACCCUUUCUAUUCUUUUUGUCCCACAUUGGAAGUUUGAGCUUCUCACCUCUCUUCCCUCCUCCUAUAUAAGAGACUCCUUCUCUUCUCUUUUUUUCAUCAAGUCAAAGUAUUCUUUGCGCAUGACAAACUGUUGAAUUAUUCAACGACCAGUCACUAGUCAAUUUUUCCGGUGAGAUUUCCGGCGAGCUUCCAGCGGGAUUUCUGGGCGAGCUUCCGGUGGGGUUUUCUAUUGACUUCAGUUGAUCACUUCCGUUGUUUUUUCCGGUCAGUUGCUAAGGUGAGAUAGCCGAGCAGGAGUGAUUGCUUUCGGAUUGGUGCUUUGGGAGUUUUAUUCUUAUUUUCAGACUUCGGUUUUAUGCUUUUAUCGAUAUUUUCCGGAUUUAUUUUAUUUAUGCUAUUAUUGGAUUAUGGUGUUGAGUUUGACUUUUGAGAAGUAAUAAAUGGAGACUUUUAUGAGAUUA